AAAGCUUUAGCUUAAUUAAAGUGUCUGUUUUGCAUACAGGAGAUGUGGGUUAAUGUCCUGCAAGUUUUA
rnacentral:tRNA from 1 species